UACGUAGGUGGCAAGCGUUGUCCGGAUUUACUGGGCGUAAAGGAUGCGUAGGCGGACAUUUAAGUCAGAUGUGAAAUACCCGAGCUUAACUUGGGUGCUGCAUUUGAAACUGGGUGUCUAGAGUGCAGGAGAGGUAAGUGAAUUCCUAGUGUAGCGGUGAAAAUGCGUAGAGAUUAGGAAGAACACCAGUGGCGAAGGCGACUUACUGGACUGUAACUGACGCUGAGGCAUGAAAGCGUGGGGAGCAAACAGG
rnacentral:rRNA from 1 species